UAGUUGGUAGGGUAAAGGCCUACCAAGGCGACGAUCAGUAGCGGGUCUGAGAGGAUGAUCCGCCACACUGGGACUGAGACACGGCCCAGACUCCUACGGGAGGCAGCAGUGGGGAAUUUUGGACAAUGGGGGCAACCCUGAUCCAGCCAUGCCGCGUGUAUGAAGAAGGCCUUAGGGUUGUAAAGUACUUUUGUUAGGGAAGAAAAGG
rnacentral:rRNA from 1 species